GAGGAUUUUAGAGCUAGCAAAUGAAUUAAUGCCCCUUUCAUCAAAUAUCUACGUCGUGCACGUUGUCAACUCGCCAAUAAUCAUGAGUAUGAUCGUCUAUCAAUUAAUGCUAGAAUUCAAUGUUAUCUUCUUUAUGCAUUUACUUCUAUGGACAUAUGCAACCAGUAUCGGUUGUGUAGUGGGC